UAACGUUGGUAACGGAAUUGGUUAAACGGUGAUAAGUGGAUUUUGCUGCUUGGAAAGUACCAAACUGUUCGAUUCUCGAUUUGACGGCGCUAGCUACUGCUACUACAGCUAGGAGGAGACCAUUUUGUUCUGGACAAAAGCAGGCUGUUAGGGGAUUGUCACAGCGACAGCGAACAUUACACUAGAGGGACUAUGCUACUUGGAUCGACAAACGCUGUUUUCAGUAACAAAGAAAAAGCCUUUGCGCCAGGUGACAGCAACAAGUUCUCACACGCUCGGAAAAUCGUCUCUUCGGUUUUUCGCUCUCUUCGCCGGAACGGCCUGCUCCGAAUCGUGCCGAAAGUGCCAAAUACUACCGCAGGCAACAAGGACUUGAGUGUAUUAGAAAGAGAUUAAAGAGCAACCGGGCACACAGCAAUAAAGAAAAAAACAACACUCGAGUCCACUUUUUUUGCGGUUCGAACUUUUUGAUCCUCUUUCACGGUCAUACUAAGUCCGAUGAGGAUGAUGAUGAGACAAACAAAAACACCGGCCCCCCGCGAUGGAACGGGGGAAUCCCCUUCACCCUCGCGCCAUUGCCUUUUAUCGCACGACGAUAACGAGGGAAGGGAAAAAAAAAUAGCGAAACAAUCAAAUCACUACCCCUUCACGCAUACACCAAUGGGGCGCAGCUGAGCAGCAUAAAAAAUUCCGCGACAUACACGCAACGCACACUAGUUACUAGCUGUUGUGGCACACUUCUGCGUUCCCUUCUGGUUCUUCGAUGCCAGAGAAUGGA